UACGUAGGGUGCGAGCGUUAAUCGGAAUUACUGGGCGUAAAGUGUGCGCAGGCGGCGCAGCAAGUCGAGUGUGAAAGCCCCGGGCUUAACUUGGGAAUUGCGCUCGAAACUAUGGUGCUGGAGUGUGGCAGAGGAAGGUGGAAUUCCACGUGUAGCGGUGAAAUGCGUAGAGAUGUGGAGGAACACCGAUGGCGAAGGCAGCCUUCUGGGACAACACUGACGCUCAUGCACGAAAGCGUGGGGAGCAAACAGG
rnacentral:rRNA from 1 species